AGUUGUUAUGAAAAAAAAUACUAUGUUGAAUUUUUGUGAAAUUAAAUUUUAUUUCAAAAUUCAGUAAAUUUUGAAAUAGUUCAUUAUGAAUGUGUCAUUGUUAAGAUGAAGUGCUUCUUUAAUGUGAAGUAUCGGUUGGUUGGUAGGUGAUCUUGUGUGUUUUUCAGAGGGCUGUGGCUGGGUCGGCAGCAAGGCUCACCUGAUGUGGUAACUUCUUAUAUCAGUGACUUUGGGACCGUGUUCCUCUGAGCUUCUGGGGCUGGAAGGGGGGUGGGGGGCAGCCUGGCCAGCCUUUCCUCUGCCUCCCACCCAGCAGUUCGGCUAGUUGCUGUGAUGAAAAAGCAUUUACUCUCUUGCCUUUGUGAAUGUGCAGACUGCACUGUUUUCAGGCCUACAAAUCCCUGCUCUGAUUCAACAGUGUGUGGAACGCUGGCCCCGAGCCCUAAGCUGGCAUCUCCAGUUAAUUGCACAGUGAGUUAGCCAGAGGCAGAAAUGCUUUUCAGACACACUUAGAAACAGAAGGAAUGAGGCAAAGGAACGGAUGCUGCAGUCUCCCAGAUCACAAGGCCUGCUGGGAUUGGACUGGUCUUUGACUUAGGAACCCAUGACCCCCCAGGGGCUGAUGUCCUGACCUGGGAGGUGGUAGGCUCUUCCUCAGGUAGGCUCAGACUUUGUCUGCCAGGGGUUGCCAUCAUCUGGAAGAUUUUUCCAAAGGGAGAAGUUGGUGAAAGUGGAGAACUGCAGUGAUAAAUGUGGAAGUCUGGAAGUGAAUGUGUCAAGAGAUUGGGGCAGGAAGAAGAAAGGGUGAGAGGUGUCACCCAUCCAUCCCCGCUCUUGGGAAACUGAGUAUGCGGCUUUUGAAGUCCAUCCUUUCAACCUGUAGCUACAGCUCAAGUACAUGUAACGAAAUCUAAAGUAUGCAUGUACAUACCUAGGCACACUCUUGGGAGGUGGAGGGGACAGGCGUUGGAUGGACCAAGAUACGUGAGACAACAGGACUGGCUGAUUUCAGGAAAUCAAGUUGGGGUCAGGUAAAGGAUAUCUUAGCUGGGAAUAGGAUUCUUGGAUCUCAGCCAUGUAGAUGCCAUAGUCUGCCAGCUCCUGUUACAGGGUUUAAUUCUGUAAUGCAUCCCUGGAUGAGAAAGGCAGAGCCAGGCACGCUCAACACAGGGGUGAUGUUGACCUUCUCUGACGGGUGGAGAGGGGGGGAUCCCACAGAGCUCCUGUGACCAAACUCUUUCAAAGAGGAAGCACAGUGCAGUGGCUGAGUGUUGGGCUGCAGAGCCACAUUGUCUGGGUUGGGACAUGGGCAAAUUAGUGAACUUUGUUGUGUCCUAGCAUACUGUAAGCACUCAGUAAAUGUGCUUCCACUUAUGGACAUAACUACUGCUCCUACUUUUCCCUCCUUACAGGCUCACAUCUAGCACGUGCUUUGACACUGUUUUCCAGCCUGCCCAGCCCAAGGUGAAGAAAGUCCUGGAUCAGGAGAGGUGGGGUCUGGAAGCCACAUUCUGGUUGUCCUGACAUCAGAAUCUUAUCCAUCAUCAGUAUUAUCUUUUAAAGUUUCUAAAGAAGAGGUAAGAAAGAAUUCCAAUCUGAUGAAAGGUAUCAAUCCACACAGUCAAGAACCACUAGAACUCCCAAAUCAGAAUAAAUACAAAGAAUACCGUACGUGGGCACAUCACAGUGAAACUGCUAAAGACCAAAGAGAAAAUCUGAAAAGCAGUCAAAACAAAUGAUACACGACCUUCAGAAGGGUGACAAUAAGAC